GCCCAGGUGGCGGAACUGGUAGACGCACAGGACUUAAAAUCCUGCGGAUAGUGAUAUCCGUGCCGGUUCGAUUCCGGCUCUGGGCACCA
rnacentral:tRNA from 2 species